rnacentral:rRNA from 1 species
AUUGAACGCUGGCGGAAUGCUUUACACAUGCAAGUCGAGCGGCAGCACGGGGGCAACCCUGGUGGCGAGCGACGAACGGGUGAGUAAUACAUCGGAACAUGCCCAGUCGUGGGGGAUAACACUUCGAAAGAAGUGCUAAUACCGCAUACGUCCUGAGGGAGAAAGCGGGGGAUCGCAAGACCUCGCGCGAUUGGAGUGGCCGAUGUCAGAUUAGCUAGUUGGUGGGGUAAAGGCCUACCAAGGCAACGAUCUGUAGCUGGUCUGAGAGGAUGAUCAGCCACACUGGGACUGAGACACGGCCCAGACUCCUACGGGAGGCAGCAGUGGGGAAUUUUGGACAAAGGGGGCAACCCUGAUCCAGCCAUUCCGCGUGAGUGAAGAAGGCCUUCGGGUUGUAAAGCUCUUUCGGCAGGAACGAAACGGCGAGCUCUAACAUAGCUUGCUAAUGACGGUACCUGAAGAAGAAGCACCGGCUAACUACGUG